rnacentral:rRNA from 1 species
UGCCAGCCGCCGCGGUAAUACGGAGGGUGCAAGCGUUAUCCGGAAUCACUGGGUUUAAAGGGUGCGUAGGCGGCGCUAUAAGUCAGAGGUGAAAGGCCACCGCUUAACGGUGGGACUGCCUUUGAUACUGUAGUGCUUGAAUCAGGCUGAGGUCGGCGGAAUGUGACAUGUAGCGGUGAAAUGCUUAGAUAUGUCAUAGAACACCAAUUGCGAAGGCAGCUGACUAGACCUUGAUUGACGCUGAGGCACGAAAGCGUGGGGAGCGAACAGGAUUAGAUA